AUGAACGCUGGCGGCGUGCCUAAUACAUGCAAGUCGAGCGAACAGAUGAGGAGCUUGCUCCUCUGACGUUAGCGGCGGACGGGUGAGUAACACGUGGAUAACCUACCUAUAAGACUGGGUUAACUUCGGGAAACCGGAGCUAAUACCGGAUAAUAUAUUGAACCGCAUGGUUCAAUAGUGAAAGACGGUUUUGCUGUCACUUAUAGAUGGAUCCGCGCCGCAUUAGCUAGUUGGUAAGGUAACGGCUUACCAAGGCAACGAUGCGUAGCCGACCUGAGAGGGUGAUCGGCCACACUGGAACUGAGACACGGUCCAGACUCCUACGGGAGGCAGCAGUAGGGAAUCUUCCGCAAUGGGCGAAAGCUUGACGGAGCAACGCCGCGUGAGUGAUGAAGGUCUUCGGAUCGUAAAACUCUGUUAUUAGGGAAGAACAAAUGUGUAAGUAACUAUGCACGUCUUGACGGUACCUAAUCAGAAAGCCACGGCUAACUACGUG
rnacentral:rRNA from 1 species